rnacentral:rRNA from 1 species
UCGAGGGGUAGAGUAAGCUUGCUUACUUGAGACCGGCGCACGGGUGCGUAACGCGUAUGCAAUCUACCUUAUACAGGGGAAUAGCCCAGAGAAAUUUGGAUUAAUGCCCCAUGGUAUUAUAGAGUGGCAUCACUUUAUAAUUAAAGUUCCAACGGUAUAAGAUGAGCAUGCGUCCCAUUAGUUAGUUGGUAAGGUAACGGCUUACCAAGACGAUGAUGGGUAGGGGUCCUGAGAGGGAGAUCCCCCACACUGGUACUGAGACACGGACCA